rnacentral:rRNA from 1 species
UACGAGAGGCCCAAACGUUAUUCGGAAUUACUGGGCUUAAAGAGUUCGUAGGUGGCGCAGAAAGUAGGGUGUGAAAGCCCUCGGCUUAACCGAGGAAUUGCGCUCUAAACUACUGUGCUUGAGGAACCUAGAGGUGAGCAGAACUGAUGGUGGAGCGGUGAAAUGCGUUGAUAUCAUCAGGAAUACCGGAGGCGAAGGCGGCUCACUGGGGGUUUUCUGACGCUGAGGAACGAAAGCCAGGGGAGCGAACGGG